AGAACGAACGCUGGCGGCGCGCCUAACACAUGCAAGUCGAACGAGAAUCCGGGGCAACCCGGUAGUAAAGUGGCAAACGGGUGAGGAAUACAUGGGUAACCUACCCUUGAGAAGGGAAUAACCCGCCGAAAGGUGAGCUAAUACCCUAUACGCUAUCAUUUUUUUCGAAAAGGAUAGGAAAGCCAGGUCGAGGACCUGGUACUCAAGGAGGGGCUCAUGUCCUAUCAGCUUGUUGGUGGGGUAACGGCCUACCAAGGCUACGACGGGUAGCUGGUCUGAGAGGAUGAUCAGCCACACUGGCACUGAGAUACGGGCCAGACUCCUACGGGAGGCAGCAGUGAGGAAUAUUGCGCAAUGGGCGAAAGCCUGACGCAGCGACGCCGCGUGGGGAUGAAGGUUUUCGGAUUGUAACCCUUUCAUGAGGAAGAUAAAGUGGGUAACCACUUAGACGGUACCUCAAGAAGAAGCCACGGCUAACUUCGUGCCAGCAGCCGC
rnacentral:rRNA from 1 species